UGAGUACUCCCUCCAUCCCAAAAUUCUUGUCUUAGAUUUUUCUAGAUACGGAUGUAUCUAAUACUAAAAUGUGACUUGAUACAUCCGUAUUUAGACAAAUCUAAGACAAGAAUUUUGGGAUGGAGGGAGUAUUAU
rnacentral:pre_miRNA from 1 species